rnacentral:pre_miRNA from 1 species
UCUUCAUUUCACGCACUCUCUCGUGACUAAAAAGGUCGAGAGAGUGUGCGAAAUGAAGAGA